UAAAAACCCCGACUUCGGAAGGGGUGUAUUUAUUAGAUACAAAACCAAUGCCCUUCGGGGCUCUUUGGUGAUUCAUGAUAACUAUACGAAUCGCACGGCCUUGCGCCGGCGAUGGUUCAUUCAAAUUUCUUCCCUAUCAACUUUCGAUGUUUGGGUAUUGGCCAGACAUGGUUGCAACGGGUAACGGAGGGUUAGGGCUCGACCCUGGAGAAGGAGCCUGAGAAACGGCUACUACAUCCAAGGAAGGCAGCAGGCGCGCAAAUUACCCAGUCCCGACUCGGGGAGGUAGUGACAAUAAAUACUGAUACAGGGCCCUUUCGGGCCUUGUAAUUGGAAUGAGUACAAUUUAAAUCCCUUAACGAGGAACAAUUGGAGGGCAAGUCUGGUGCCAGCAGCCGCGGUAAUUCCAGCUCCAAUAGCGUAUAUUAAAGUUGUUGUGGUUAAAAAGCUCGUAGUUGAACCUUGGGCCUGGCUGGCCGGUCCGCCUCACCGCGUGCACUGGUCCGGCCGGGCCUUUCCCUCUGUGGAACCCCAUACCCUUCACUGGGCGUGGCGGGGAAACAGGACAUUUACUUU
rnacentral:rRNA from 1 species